rnacentral:rRNA from 1 species
CCCCCCUCGCCCGCCGCGCGGGGCGGGCGGGGCGGGGGCACGGGGGGCCUACGGGAGGCAGCAGUGAGGAAUAUUGGUCAAUGGGCGCAAGCCUGAACCAGCCAUCCCGCGUGCAGGAAGACGGCCCUAUGGGUUGUAAACUGUUUUUCCAGGGGGAGAAUUUUUCUGUCGUGACA